GUCUUCGUAGUUCAAUGGAUAGAACGAGAACCUCCUAAGUUCUAGAUUCAGGUUCGAUUCCUGACGAAGACACAA
rnacentral:tRNA from 1 species